AAGAAUUUAGUUAAAAAAUAACAUUAGUUUGUCAAGCUAAAAUUAUUUAAAAAAUAAUUUUUA
rnacentral:tRNA from 1 species